GCCAGACCUAGAGACCCACCUCUUGCGAGCUGCCCUUCGCUCCAUCUUCACCCUGGGCACGGAGAAGGACACCAUCAACAUCCAGGCUCUGCACAAAGUCAUGCCAGAGCUCCUGGAUGCCAUGCUGGGGAACCUGCUGGCAGAGUCCCCAGACGCAGACAGGCUCCACUCCAUCUUGGAGAUCUCAGCAGAGUUCCCUAGGAUGGGUCACCAUGUGGCACAGCUGGCUCUGUUUGUCAGUGACCCGGACAAGGACAUCAGC